rnacentral:rRNA from 1 species
UCGGGGUACACGAGCGGCGAACGGGUGAGUAACACGUGAGCAACCUGCCCCUGACUCUGGGAUAAGCGGUGGAAACGCCGUCUAAUACCGGAUACGACCUUCCGCCUCAUGGUGGAGGGUGGAAAGUUUUUUCGGUCAGGGAUGGGCUCGCGGCCUAUCAGCUUGUUGGUGGGGUAACGGCCUACCAAGGCGAUUACGGGUAGCCGGCCUGAGAGGGCGACCGGCCACACUGGGACUGAGACACGGCCCAGACUCCUGCGGGAGGCAGCAGUGGGGAAUAUUGCGCAAUGGGCGAAAGCCUGACGCAGCGACGCCGCGUGGGGGAUGACGGCCUUCGGGUUGUAAACCUCUUUUACCACCAACGCAGGCUCCGGGUUCUCUCGGGGUUGACGGUAGGUGGGGAAUAAGGACCGGCUAACUACGUGCCAGCAGCCGCGGUAAUACGUAGGGUCCGAGCGUUGUCCGGAAUUAUUGGGCGUAAAGAGCUCGUAGGCGGCGUGUCGCGUCUGCUGUGAAAGACCGGGGCUUAACUCCGGUUCUGCAGUGGAUACGGGCAUGCUAGAGGUAGGUAGGGGAGACUGGAAUUCCUGGUGUAGCGGUGAAAUGCGCAGAUAUCAGGAGGAACACCGGUGGCGAAGGCGGGUCUCUGGGCCUUACCUGACGCUGAGGAGCGAAAGCAUGGGGAGCGAACAGGAUUAGAUACCCUGGUAGUCCAUGCCGUAAACGUUGGGCGCUAGGUGUGGGGACUUUCCACGGUUUCCGCGCCGUAGCUAACGCAUUAAGCGCCCCGCCUGGGGAGUACGGCCGCAAGGCUAAAACUCAAAGGAAUUGACGGGGGCCCGCACAAGCGGCGGAGCAUGUUGCUUAAUUCGACGCAACGCGAAGAACCUUACCAAGGUUUGACAUCACUCGUGGACCUGUAGAGAUAC